GAGGAUUUUUAUGAGAGAGAGAGAGAGCGAGAGAGAUUGUGUGGUUUUCUGAGAAAUGCUCUCUGACUCCCUCACCCUUUUUAAGAGUUUUUCUUGUGCUGAAUUAUGCUUUUUGGGACUGAACUCUGACUUGUUAGAGUGGACGAGGGUGAACAGUCUUAUAGACACAGUAAAGUUUGGAUCAAAGUUGCAGCCUGAAAAGGGGUGAGAUAGAUUCAACCCAGCCUUUUUUAUCAACCAAUUCUAAUACAAAAGGAAGCAUCUUGUUUAAACAGAAAGUUUGAGCUAUGCCUUAAUUAGGCUUUAGUUUAGAGGUGCAAUUCUGGGGCUAAGCUGUAUACUAGAAAGUAAAAACAUUAUGUUGAACAACUUGUCUUUUCUUUUUUAAUUAUUUUUUGAGUAUAAAUAUGGAGUAAUAAAUGUUAUUAUUAUAGCAAGUUUUGCAUUCUAGCUUUUCUUAUGGUUAUAA